UGGAUCCUGUUUUUUAUCAGUUCCCAGAGUCAGAACCAGACACGGAGAAGCUGCAUUCAGCUUUUAUGCUCCAUAUAUUUGGAACAAACUCUAAGAAAGCCUCAGAUCAGCUGAAACACUCAGUUUACUUAAAUCCAGUUUGAAGACUAACCUGUCCUCAGCUGUUCAGCAAGUUAUUUUGUUUUACAUGUACAAUGACAAUAAAUUCUGUUCAAUUCUAUCAAAUGAGGCAGAAAGCUCUUAAAGCACAGAUGUGGAUCAUUGUUUACACUGUAGUCUUUACCUCACAAUAUAAAGUGCUUUGAGGCCACUGCUGUUGUGGUUUUGUGAUAUAUAAAUAAAAUGUAAUUGACUUGUUUAGCUCUUGAUGUUUUGUCCUCUCUCUGUCGGUACAUUGCAUGAUUUUGCAUCCUCCUCACCUUCUGUCUUCAGCUGUCAGAGUCACUCUGUCAGCUCAUCUUGAAACAUGAUCAGGAUGAUCAUGUUUCAUAAUCCCCCCUUCGGUUUCUUUACAAACGAGGAAAACAGUGCUGAUGCUUUUGUAAGUUGUAGAGUUUUCUCUUUUUGGUCAUCAGACUGGUGAGGGUGGUUUUUGGUGUUUCCACGCGUUAUGACUCAUUCAGAGUUCAGGGUCAUGCCACGUGGUAAUACAAUGGCCUGUGGCUUUCAUAGGAAAGGGGGAGGUGAAAUGACAGUUUCCUUAUUACAGAGCUACACUGGCCUGUUGUUAACAGUUUUUAUGACAUAAAAGUGGGUUAAAACUAGAAUUUCAAACUCUAUACCAAUACUCAGAAAAAUACUCAAUAGAUCCAACAAAGGUGUGUAUGUGUGACCUUUUGACCUUUAGAAUAGAAUUCAGCUUUAUUAUCAUUGCACAUGUCACAAAUACAAGGCAACUAAAUGCAGUUAUUACAUUUUCACUAUUAUCUUUAAAACAGAAGCAGCACAAACACAAAAUAUUGCAGCACAAUCGUUUGACAGCACUUUUAUUUAAUUGGAAGAAGGUGUUAGGGUCAACUUCACCAUGAACGUAAAUCACUGACAGAAUAAGAAUUUUUCAAGUGGGAACCAACUUGUUCAACUUUAUUCCAACUCAAUUCAAAAUCAGGGCCGAUCUUUAUCUCUGUCAGAUCCACAGUCAAAUCCAUAGAAACUGAGUUGUUACAUUUAAAGUCAUGUUCAAAUUUGAAGCAUUUGGAAUUAAAAGAAAACAUGAUUUACAGACAUCACAUGAACAUUGUUUAAUGGCUCAACCAGUACAGGUCACAGAAAGUCCCCAUCAUACUGUUAGAACUCUGUUACUCAGCAGCCUUCAUUCAAUCACUGCAUCCUAGCUGACUGACAAGAUUAAUAUCCUGGGCUGACUCAGAAGCAGAGCUGUUAAACUUGUAUGUGUCACAUGAGCGUAACUUUUAACUGUAUUGUGUCCUCCUGUUCUUUGUUCAGAGUUUAGUUGUUUCUCCUGUGUUUAACACGGCUUUGCCCACUUUAGUGUGUGGUUGUGUGAUGGAGUACACAGGUUAAUUUGAAGGUCAGACCAACAUCCUGAACAGCAGUGAUCUAAUUUGUCGUGUUUGAGCGUCAUCUGGUGACAUUUUUUUUCCCCGAUUGAGGAGCAGAGCAGAGCUGCAGGUGACAGGCCUGACAUGUCCAAAGGUAAAAGGGAUGAGAAUAUCUUGGAAAGGCCCUGAUCUGGCAGAUCUUCAGUUCUUAUCUCCAACAAAACUUAAACAGCCUGUUGAGAGAGGCAGACCCAGAUGGUGUAGACUGGAGGUGAAGGGCAUCUUCAAACUGGAGUUUAGUAAAGUAGUGGAACAAGAUUUUCAGUGUCUGUUGGUUUCUAGAUUUUAUGUAUUCAUUUUGCUCAUAACCUAGUUUAAAAAAUGUGUUUACUGACAUGUUUCAGCCAAAGAAACAUUUUUCUCUUAAUGAUGAGAGGUGGAAACUACAGAACUACCACCCUGUAAGAGAGGAAGGAGGAGGAGGGUCUCGCUUGAUGCUAGUGUGGACCGAUCAAAGUUCAGUAGCACCUGCAGAUGGAGAAAGCUUCUUCACUAUGGCUGCUCUGUAAGUAUGCUGUGAUGUGUUUUGGUUUCUGAAAAGGAUUAAAAAGGAUUCUCACUGUGUUGCUUCACAAACAUCCAGUUUGUGAAGAAGAUCAAAAGAGACAAAACCACUUCCUGUUUUCUGCUUCUUCAGUCUGUAGAUCAACCAGACUGAUGGCGUUGCUGCUUUUUUCCUGAAUGUGAAGCUUUAAACUAACCUGUUAUUUCUCUUUAGUUUCAACCUCAGUGCUGAGCUGCACAACAAACCAAGGUCAGUAACCUUCUCCUGUCACACUUUAAACCUGAUAUCAGCUACACCGUAAUAGAAGCUCUGAGCAUUUUUUUAUAUUGUGGCAUAAUAUCAUAGUUAUUAUGCUAAGCUAUCCAGGAGCCUGCUGAAAGUUUAUCGAUGCCACCAAAAGCAUAAAGGAAGUAUGUUCACCUGAAGAAAGUGCUAUAACUUUCUUGGAGGUUAAUGUUAAAAAAAAACUAAUCAGCUUUGACUGAGCUCACAAAGUUCACCACAGCAGGUCUGCUUUGGACCUCAGUGCCGGCUUGUACUUAAUAUGUAUCCUCCUCACAGCUCGUCUGACUGUGAGUCCCAGCAGCUCUCAGUUCUUUAAAGGAGAAUUUGUGUCUCUGAGCUGUGAGGAGGACGACAGCUCUGCUGGAUGGACUCUGAGGAGAAACACAAGCAAACAACAGAGGACUCAGUGUGGAGAUGGGUUUGGAAAACCAGUUGGUUCUUCCUGUAACAUCACUGUUUUCCCGUUGGACAGUGGAGUUUACUGGUGUGAGUCCAGAGAGGGUCCCAUCAGUAACAUGGUUAACCUGACAGUCACUGGUGGAUCAGUGAUCCUGCAGAGUCCUGUCCUCCCUGUGAUGGAGGGAGAUGACGUCACUCUG